rnacentral:rRNA from 1 species
GGAUUAGAUACCCUGGUAGUCCACGCCGUAAACGUUGAGUGCUAGGUGUCGCGGGUAUUGACCCCUGCGGUGCCGUCGCUAACGCAUUUAGCACUCCGCCUGGGGAGUACGGUCGCAAGGCUAAAACUCUAAGGAAUUGACGGGGGCCCGCACAAGCGGUGGAGCAUGUGGUUUAAUUCGAAGCAACGCGCAGAACCUUACCUGGGCUUGACAUCCAGGGAACCUCUCCGAAAGGAGAGGGUGCCUUCGGGAACCCUGAGACAGGUGCUGCAUGGCUGUCGUCAGCUCGUGCCG